rnacentral:lncRNA from 1 species
AGAGAGAGAGACCAACAUCUCUUGCUUCAAAGAGAAGCUUGUGAUAGUUUCUAAAUUAAGAUUAAUAUUAAUUAAUUAUGAUUAGUUUUAUAGUAUAAGGGAUGGUAGAGAAGGGUUUAAAUUAUGGGUCACGGCCAUGAAAUUCUGAGCAAACAGCAGAGAAACACACACGCACAUUAAUACCGACACAAUAAUAAAGCCAUAGCUAUCUGCUUCGAAGUCGUGUGGAGCUCUGGAGGUGGCCCUUCUUUUCACAAUAGAUCUCGUUCUGUUAUUAUUUUAUUUACCUUUUUUGGGGAUUAAAUACCCAAACAUGAUAUGGGUGCGUGGUUUUCUUCCCCCUUAAUUUAUGUUUUCUCAACUUUUAGGGUCAUCCCUG